AAUCAACGCUGGCGGCGUGCCUCAGGCAUGCAAGUCGAACGAUUAAGACUUCCUUCGGGAAGUGCAUAAAGUGGCGCACGGGUGAGUAACACGUAAGUAAUCUACCUUCGAGUGGGAAUAACGUUCGGAAACGAACGCUAAUACCGCAUAAUGCAGCGGCAUCGCAAGAUGACAGUUGUUAAAGGAAUUUAUUUCGCUUGAAGAGGAGCUUGCGGCAGAUUAGCUAGUUGGUAAGGUAACGGCUUACCAAGGCUACGAUCUGUAUCCGGUCUAAGAGGACGGUCGGACACACUGACACUGAAUAACGGGUCAGACUCCUACGGGAGGCAGCAGUCGGGAAUUUUGGGCAAUGGGCGAAAGCCUGACCCAGCAACGCCGCGUGAAGGAUGAAGUAUUUCGGUAUGUAAACUUCGAAAGAAUGGGAAGAAUAAAUGACGGUACCAUUAUAAGCUCCGGCUAACUACGUGCCAGCAGCCGCGGUAA
rnacentral:rRNA from 1 species